ACUCCUACGGGAGGCAGCAGUGGGGAAUUUUGGACAAUGGGCGAAAGCCUGAUCCAGCCAUGCCGCGUGCAGGAUGAAGGCCUUCGGGUUGUAAACUGCUUUUGUACGGAACGAAAAGGUUUGGCCUAAUAAGCUGAGCUCAUGACGGUACCGUAAGAAUAAGCACCGGCUAACUACGUGCCAGCAGCCGCGGUAAU
rnacentral:rRNA from 1 species